UGCUUUUCUUCUAACUCUUCUUGCAUUUGCAAUUGUCUUUAAAGCGGAAGGGGCCCCUACCUAUAACUCUUUUAAUGAGAAUGCGACGAAGGGCGCCUUAGACCUAAAGCUUUCCGUGGAGCAAGGAGUGGAAAAGGACUCUACCAAUUUAAAGCCUGUAAUUCUGGAUGUUGCUGAGAGAGAGAGACUAAUGAACCUUACCAAACAGGUUAGCGUAAUUCCGGGUGAUGCUGAGAGAGAAGAAUUUUCAAAUUCCCCUUCUCCUAGUGGCCAUAGUACACCCUUGGAUCACUAAAAAAAAUGGUACGGAGGCUGAAAAGUUAAACGUUGGUG